GACUAACCCCAGGACAAAGCCAGCCCAAAGCAGGAGCUGGGAGCGAGGAAGCCUCGGACAACACCUGCCCCAAGCCACAGGACAGAGAGGAAAAGAAACUGCAAGUUGAGAGCCUCAACUUCAUCCGAAUGGAAGAGUAUCUGAAGCCUGAGCCAUCCGUGAUGUCUUGCAGCUCCUUCACAGCUCAUGCAGUUUAACCUUCUGUGGUGUAAAGGAAAGCCUAAAUAUUACAGAAGCAAUUUCCCUUCAAGGCAAUACUACUGCCAGAUUCAAGAAUCCUUACAGGAGAAAGUGACUCUUGAAAAUCCAGGCUUGGAGCUGCUGUUCUGA